rnacentral:rRNA from 1 species
UACGUAGGGGGCAAGCGUUGUCCGGAUUUAUUGGGCGUAAAGCGCGAUGUAGGUGGCCAUGUUAGGUCCGCUGUGAAAACUCGAAGGCUCCGAACCUCGAGCUGUCGGUGGAAACCCCUUGGCUAAGAGGUCCGGAAGAGGAGAGGUGGAAUUCCUGGUGUAGCGGUGAAAUGCGCAGAUAUCAGGAGGAACACCGGUGGCGAAGGCGGCGAUUCUGGACCGACAUUGACGCUGAGGAGCGAAAGCCAGGGAGCAAACGGG